rnacentral:rRNA from 1 species
AGAGUUAAACAGUACGUGAAAUUGUUGAAAGGGAAACGAUUGAAGUCAGUCGUACCGAUGGGCAUUCAGCCUCAUGAGUGCGAUUACGUCGGGUGUUGGGGAGCCUAACCGCCCUCGCGCUUGUGUAUUCGUGCUCUACGGGUGUACUUGUCCGUAUGGUAGGUUAACAUCAAUUUUGGUCGUCAUAAAAUGGCGGGAGGAAUGUGGCUUCGAUCUCGUGUUGAAGUGUUAUAGCCUCUCGUAGAUGUGAUGACCGGGAUUGAGGAUUGCAACGAACCCUUCGGGGCCACCUGUCUGGCCUCUAGUGGUCUCUCUGGUGCUGAAAGCUUGCUUAUGGUUAUCAGAGUUGGUUGCCAAAAGGUUAGAACGGGUUGAUUUCGUUAAGGAUGUUGACGUAAUGGCUUUAAACGACC